GAUAAACGCUGGCGGCGCACAUAAGACAUGCAAGUUGAACGGACUUAAUCGAAAUAUUUAUCUUUUGAAGCGGUUAGUGGCGGACUGGUGAGUAACGCGUAAGGAACCUGCCUAUUAGAGGGGAAUAACAGUGAGAAAUCAUUGCUAAUACCGCAUAUGCCAUAGAUAUCACAUGAUAACAGUGGGAAAGGAGCAAUCCGCUAAUAGAUGGCCUUGCGUCUGAUUAGAUAGUUGGUGGGGUAACGGCCUACCAAGUCGACGAUCAGUAGCCGGACUGAGAGGUUGAACGGCCACAUUGGGACUGAGAUACGGCCCAGACUCCUACGGGAGGCAGCAGUCGGGAAUAUUGCGCAAUGGAGGAAACUCUGACGCAGUGACGCCGCGUAGAGGAAGAAGGUUUUCGGAUUGUAAACUAUUGUCGUUAGGGAAGAGAAAGGACAGUACCUAAGGAGGAAGCUCCGGCUAACUACGUG
rnacentral:rRNA from 1 species